rnacentral:rRNA from 1 species
GACGAACGCUGGCGGCGCGCUUAACACAUGCAAGUCGAACGGAAAGGCCUGCUUUCCCUUGUGGAUUGCGGGUACUCGAGUGGCGAACGGGUGAGUAACACGUGAGUGAUCUGCCCCCAACUUGGGUAUAAGCCUGGGAAACUGGGUCUAAUUCCCGAUAGGACUGCAGGGUGGUGCCUGUGGUGGAAAACGAUUUUCUAGUGGUUGGGGAUGAGCUCGCGGCCUAUCAGCUUGUUGGUGGGGUAAUGGCCUACCAAGGCGGCGACGGGUAGCCGGCCUGGGAGGGUGGACGGGCACAGUGGGACUGAGAUACGGCCCAGACUCCUACGGGAGGCAGCAGUGGGGAAUAAUGCACGAUGGGCGGAAGCCUGAUGCAGCGACGCCGCGUGGGGGAUGACGGCCUUCGGGUGGUAAACUCCUUUCGACCGCGAGGAAGCCACCUGGUUGGAAGGGUGGUGACGGUAGUGGUAGAAGAAGCACCGGCUAACUACGUG